AAAGGACAUGGAACUUUGAAGAUGAAAAUGGAGACGUGGAACAAGAGAUUAGGGUUUAGGAUGGGAUGGACUUGGUUAGUUGACUUUGCUCAACUGGUUGACCAAAAAGUCAACAAUUGACCAAAAGUCAACUUAGGUGGAAAAGUCAACUUUUUUUGUGUAAUGAUUUAUGUAUGGACAUUUGUGAUGUAAUUUUAUGAAUGAAGUGAUAUUUUG
rnacentral:lncRNA from 1 species